GGGAACUCUGACACGAGGUGCUGCAUGGCUGUCGUCAGCUCGUGUCGUGAGAUGGUUGGGUUAACGUCCGUAACGAGCGCAACCCUUGUCCUUAGUUACCAGCACGUUAUGGGUGGGCACUCUAAGGAGACUGCCGGUGACAAACCGGAGGAAGGUGGGGAUGACGUCAAGUCAUCAUGGCCCUUACGGCCUGGGCUACACACGUGCUACAAUGGUCGGUACAAAGGGUUGCCAAGCCGCGAGGUGGAGCUAAUCCCAUAAAACCGAUCGUAGUCCGGAUCGCAGUCUGCAACUCGACUGCGUGAAGUCGGAAUCGCUAGUAAUCGUGAAUCAGAAUGUCACGGUGAAUACGUUCCCGGGCCUU
rnacentral:rRNA from 1 species